rnacentral:rRNA from 1 species
GGUUAAGUGACUAAGCGUACACGGUGGAUGCCUGGGCAGUCAGAGGCGAUGAAGGACGUACUAACUUGCGAUAAGCGCAGAUAAGGCAGUAAGAGCCGUUUGAGUCUGCGAUUUCCGAAUGGGGAAACCCAACUGCAUAAGCAGUUACUGUUAACUGAAUACAUAGGUUAACAGAGCAAACCGGGGGAACUGAAACAUCUAAGUACCCCGAGGAGAAGAAAUCAACCGAGAUUCCGGUAGUAGCGGCGAGCGAACCUGGAUUAGCCCUUAAGCACUCGUUGAAGUAGGUGAACAAGCUGGAAAGCUUGGCGAUACAGGGUGAUAGCCCCGUAACCGACGCUUCAUCGAGCGUGAAAUCGAGUAGGGCGGGACACGUGAUAUCCUGUCUGAAUAUGGGGGGACCAUCCUCCAAGGCUAAAUACUCCUGACUGACCGAUAGUGAACCAGUACCGUGAGGGAAAGGCGAAAAGAACCCCUGUGAGGGGAGUGAAAUAGAACCUGAAACCGUGUACGUACAAGCAGUAGGAGCACCUUCGUGGUGUGACUGCGUACCUUUUGUAUAAUGGGUCAGCGACUUAUAUUCAGUGGCAAGGUUAACCGUAUAGGGGAGCCGUAGCGAAAGCGAGUCUUAACUGGGCGCUCAGUCUCUGGAUAUAGACCCGAAACCGGGUGAUCUAGCCAUGGGCAGGUUGAAGGUUGAGUAACAUCAACUGGAGGACCGAACCGACUAAUGUUGAAAAAUUAGCGGAUGACUUGUGGCUAGGGGUGAAAGGCCAAUCAAACUCGGAGAUAGCUGGUUCUCCCCGAAAGCUAUUUAGGUAGCGCCUCGGACGAAUACUACUGGGGGUAGAGCACUGUUAAGGCUAGGGGGUCAUCCCGACUUACCAACCCUUUGCAAACUCCGAAUACCAGUAAGUACUAUCCGGGAGACACACGGCGGGUGCUAACGUCCGUCGUGGAGAGGGAAACAACCCAGACCGCCAGCUAAGGUCCCAAAGUAUUGCUAAGUGGGAAACGAUGUGGGAAGGCUCAGACAGCUAGGAUGUUGGCUUAGAAGCAGCCAUCAUUUAAAGAAAGCGUAAUAGCUCACUAGUCGAGUCGGCCUGCGCGGAAGAUGUAACGGGGCUAAGCAAUACACCGAAGCUGCGGCAAUGAAGUUUACUUCAUUGGGUAGGGGAGCGUUCUGUAAGCCGUUGAAGGUGAAUCGUAAGGUUUGCUGGAGGUAUCAGAAGUGCGAAUGCUGACAUGAGUAACGACAAGGGGGGUGAAAAACCUCCCCGCCGGAAGACCAAGGGUUCCUGUCCAACGUUAAUCGGGGCAGGGUGAGUCGACCCCUAAGGUGAGGCCGAAAGGCGUAAUCGAUGGGAAACGGGUUAAUAUUCCCGUACUUCUGACUAUUGCGAUGGGGGGACGGAGAAGGCUAGGUGGGCCAGGCGACGGUUGUCCUGGUUCAAGUGCGUAGGCUUGAGAGUUAGGUAAAUCCGGCUCUCUUUAAGGCUGAGACACGACGUCGAGCUGCUACGGCAGUGAAGUCAUUGAUGCCAUGCUUCCAGGAAAAGCCUCUAAGCUUCAGAUAGUCAGGAAUCGUACCCCAAACCGACACAGGUGGUCGGGUAGAGAAUACCAAGGCGCUUGAGAGAACUCGGGUGAAGGAACUAGGCAAAAUGGUACCGUAACUUCGGGAGAAGGUACGCUCUUGAUGGUGAAGUCCCUCGCGGAUGGAGCUGACGAGAGUCGCAGAUACCAGGUGGCUGCAACUGUUUAUUAAAAACACAGCACUGUGCAAAAUCGCAAGAUGACGUAUACGGUGUGACGCCUGCCCGGUGCCGGAAGGUUAAUUGAUGGGGUUAGCGUAAGCGAAGCUCUUGAUCGAAGCCCCGGUAAACGGCGGCCGUAACUAUAACGGUCCUAAGGUAGCGAAAUUCCUUGUCGGGUAAGUUCCGACCUGCACGAAUGGCGUAAUGAUGGCCACGCUGUCUCCACCCGAGACUCAGUGAAAUUGAAAUCGCUGUGAAGAUGCAGUGUACCCGCGGCUAGACGGAAAGACCCCGUGAACCUUUACUACAGCUUGGCACUGAACAUUGAACCUACAUGUGUAGGAUAGGUGGGAGGCUAUGAAGACGUGACGCUAGUUGCGUUGGAGCCGUCCUUGAAAUACCACCCUUGUAUGUUUGAUGUUCUAACUUAGACCCAUUAUCUGGGUUGAGGACAGUGCCUGGUGGGUAGUUUGACUGGGGCGGUCUCCUCCCAAAGAGUAACGGAGGAGCACGAAGGUGGGCUAAUCACGGUUGGACAUCGUGAGGUUAGUGCAAUGGCAUAAGCCCGCUUAACUGCGAGAAUGACGGUUCGAGCAGGUGCGAAAGCAGGUCAUAGUGAUCCGGUGGUUCUGUAUGGAAGGGCCAUCGCUCAACGGAUAAAAGGUACUCCGGGGAUAACAGGCUGAUACCGCCCAAGAGUUCAUAUCGACGGCGGUGUUUGGCACCUCGAUGUCGGCUCAUCACAUCCUGGGGCUGAAGUCGGUCCCAAGGGUAUGGCUGUUCGCCAUUUAAAGUGGUACGCGAGCUGGGUUUAGAACGUCGUGAGACAGUUCGGUCCCUAUCUGCCGUGGGCGUUGGAAGAUUGAAGGGGGCUGCUCCUAGUACGAGAGGACCGGAGUGGACGAACCUCUGGUGUUCGGGUUGUGUCGCCAGACGCAUUGCCCGGUAGCUAAGUUCGGAAUCGAUAACCGCUGAAAGCAUCUAAGCGGGAAGCGAGCCCUGAGAUGAGUCUUCCCUGACAGUUUAACUGUCCUAAAGGGUUGUUCGAGACUAGAACGUUGAUAGGCAGGGUGUGUAAGCGUUGUGAGGCGUUGAGCUAACCUGUACUAAUUGCCCGUGAGGCUUAACCAU